GACGAACGCUGGCGGCGUGCUUAACACAUGCAAGUCGAACGGAAAGACCCUGCUUUUGUGGGGUGCUCGAGUGGCGAACGGGUGAGUAACACGUGAGUAACCUGCCCUUGACUUUGGGAUAACUUCAGGAAACUGGGGCUAAUACCGGAUAGGAGCUCCUGCUGCAUGGUGGGGGUUGGAAAGUUUCGGCGGUUGGGGAUGGACUCGCGGCUUAUCAGCUUGUUGGUGGGGUAGUGGCUUACCAAGGCUUUGACGGGUAGCCGGCCUGAGAGGGUGACCGGCCACAUUGGGACUGAGAUACGGCCCAGACUCCUACGGGAGGCAGCAGUGGGGAAUAUUGCACAAUGGGCGGAAGCCUGAUGCAGCAAAGCCGCGUGCGGGAUGACGGCCUUCGGGUUGUAAACCGCUUUCGCCUGUGACGAAGCGUGAGUGACGGUAAUGGGUAAAGAAGCACCGGCUAACUACGUG
rnacentral:rRNA from 1 species